GAUUGUCCUUAACAUGAAUCAAUUCGGUAGAAGUUAGCAUUCACCACCUGCCACUGCCAGUCACCCAGAAAGUACCAAAUGUGCAGGGCUUGACUCCUUCCCAAGUUACCUCGAAGAUACUCAGAUUGCAAACCCUGUUCUAUCUUGAACUAAGUGGGCCAAGAAGCUGUGAUGGCUAAUUCUGUCUUCCUAACUUCUGCUCUAUUUUAUCUAUUUGAUGGUUGUGUAACUUGAUCUAAAAAAUUGGC
rnacentral:lncRNA from 1 species